CAGAAGUGAGGCGCCCAGAGAAGUGUUCACUUGUGGCUCGAAGUCCAGGUGUGAUACUGCAUGAAAACCCCCCGAUUUGGCCAUCCAGAGCAUGGUAAUCAAGAAACGCCUAGAUGUUUCCAAAAAUGGAUUGGGUGUCCCUCCAAGUGUUCAUGAAAAGAUUGAAUUUCCUCUUGGUGGAGAGUUACAGAGGAGAUUAGUAGAUCAGGCUGAAUU
rnacentral:lncRNA from 1 species